CGAACGCUGGCGGCGUGCUUAACACAUGCAAGUCGAACGCGAAAGGGACUUCGGUCCUGAGUAAAGUGGCGCACGGGUGAGUAACGCGUAGAUAACCUGUCUUCAUGUCUGGAAUAAUACGCCGAAAGGGGUACUAAUACCGGAUAUUCUUGCUUUUCAUAAGUUAUGCAAGCAAAGGUGGCCUCUGCAUAUGCUACCGCAUGAAGAGGGGUCUGCGUACCAUUAGCUAGUAGGUGGGGUAAUGGCCUACCUAGGCGACGAUGGUUAGCGGGUCUGAGAGGAUGAUCCGCCACACUGGCACUGGAACACGGGCCAGACUCCUACGGGAGGCAGCAGUGAGGAAUAUUGCGCAAUGGGGGAAACCCUGACGCAGCGACGCCGCGUGAGUGAGGAAGGCCUUCGGGUCGUAAAGCUCUGUCAAGAGGAAAGAAGUGUACAAUGGCUAAUACCUGUUGUAUUUGACGGUACCUCUAAAGGAAGCACCGGCUAACUCCGUGCCAGCCGCGGC
rnacentral:rRNA from 1 species